CCUUAACCUACCCUUGACAUGCCAGGAAUCCUGAAGAGAUUUGGGAGUGCUCGAAAGAGAGCCUGGACACAGGUGCUGCAUGGCCGUCGUCAGCUCGUGUCGUGAGAUGUUGGGUUAAGUCCCGCAACGAGCGCAACCCUUAUCAUUAGUUGCUACGCAAGGGCACUCUAAUGAGACUGCCGGUGACAAACCGGAGGAAGGUGGGGAUGACGUCAGGUCAUCAUGGCCCUUAUGGGUAGGGCUACACACGUCAUACAAUGGCCGGUACAGAGGGCUGCCAACCCGCGAGGGGGAGCUAAUCUCAGAAAACCGGUCGUAGUCCGGAUCGUAGUCUGCAACUCGACUGCGUGAAGUCGGAAUCGCUAGUAAUCGCGGAUCAGCUUGCCGCGGUGAAUACGUUCCCGGGUCUUGUACACACCGCCCGUCACACCAUGGGAGCGGGUUCUGCCAGAAGUAGUUAGCCUAACCGCAAGGAGGGCGAUUACCACGGCAGGGUUCGUGACUGGGGUGAAGUCGUAACAAGGUAGGCGUAGACGU
rnacentral:rRNA from 1 species